ACUUUUUGAAACGUGAACAUCUUUGGUGAAUCUUCUUUCAUCGGAGGGACAUAAAUCUCUCAGAUUUUUAUUAAAAUAUCUCAGCUUUUCUUUUGAAGAUGAACGAAAGUCUUAGAUGGUUUGGAGCAUCUUAAGGCUUCUGCAAGCGUGUAUGGCGUCUGGCUUUUGGAACCUCACUGUGACUUCAGAUAAGAACAAAGAUUAAAUUGUAAGAAGGGUUGCUUAUAUGAGAGCAUACAGUACAUCUGAAACUGCUGAGGCUGGGAAGGUUUUUGACUAUAUUACCGACCAGAUCAGCUGCUAUAGAAGACAAACUGAAAUCUGAGUGCAGAGACAAGCAAAGGAAUACUGCAAGGCUCUGGUGCAAAAUAUUGUAUGCCAGGAGUCAGGACGACUAGGCUGUGCCCAGGUCUCCAGAACCUGCGACGACGCUCAGCUCCAUCAGCCCUCCA